AUAUAAGAUAUCUCAUAUAAUAUAUAAGAUAUCUCAUAAAAAUGAAAUUAUAUAAGAUAUCUUAUAUAUCAUAGGAGAUAUCUUAUAU
rnacentral:sRNA from 1 species